rnacentral:lncRNA from 1 species
GAUUACUGUUCCCCUCCCCCUGCUGCCCCAGUGGUGGGCGGAGCCUUACUAUCCCAGUCCAGAAAGUUUAGCACCCCAAUUUCAGGGGUAAAGGUUUUUUUUUUUUUCCUCUCUCUUUUUCUUUCCCGUCUACAGUGAUCUUCACCUGUGCUCUGCGGACUACAGUUUAGUCUCCUUGCCCUUGCAGAAUAAGGCUUUUGUUCCCUAGGGGGUGGGGCUGCAGCUCCCCUCUGCCAGUCUUGCCUCAAUGAGGGACGUUUUCCUUGGGUGUCCUCCUGCCUCCAGUCUUUCUUGGGAGCACCCAGUGUGUCGCUGGGAGAAGAACCUUCAGGCUGGCCUGAAGCAUCCAUCCUUGUGACUGUAGCUCCCCAGGACCCGCUGCACUCACGCAGGCCUAUCCUUGCCCUUGAGUCAUCAGUUAAGGCUUUCAGCUGAACUUGCACCCCCCUGCACCGGCCUCAGCUCCCUCCUGUGGUCUGCCCAGGGUGGUCUCCAGGGCUCUCCUUGGAGGAACCUGACCUCCCUGAGAAUUCAGGCCCAUCUGGUGGGCCCCUCUUCAGCUCUUUCAGGGGUUCAAGGAAAGUUAUGCUUUUGUAAGUUUUCUGGCUUUUUCUUAUUGUUGGGGGGAGUAACACUCUCUCCAGCUUCCUGUGUCCUAAGCAUCCCCUCCUUCUUCAUAGGGUCAGGAGCAGCAGUUUUAGAACUGAUUAUCUCCUCCUUUAAAGAGACUCCAGAGAAUGAGGCCUCUCUGGAAGGGAGAGCUCACUCUGGGUGGGAACAGAGUCUCAGGGGAGACCAAGAACUCUUGUCGCCAGGGGAGGAACUGGUAAACGCCAGUUCCCCUUCAAUUUUCCAGACACAAAGCAUAGGGACCACUCCUGACCGCAUCUCUUCCACUCGAGGUACCCACUGUAACACUUGGCACACGGCACUCUCCUUGUCCUGGUGGUCUGCUGGUCAGCCUCCCCACAGCAUUCUGAGAAAGGCCAGUGCCCUGAUCAACUCUGGAUGUCCAGUGUCCAUUAAUGAGGAAGGGCAGAGGGAUCUGGGGUCAGUGGCUCUAUAUGCAUCCUGGAUACCCCUCAUCUCUGCCUACCUAGGAAUCUCUGUCAACCCCACUAUUGAGUGUGACCUCCUAAAUGGCUCAGUGGUAAAGAAUCUACCUACCAAUUCAG